rnacentral:rRNA from 1 species
GACGAACGCUGGCGGCGUGCUUAACACAUGCAAGUCGAACGGAAAGGCCCUGCUUUUGUGGGGUGCUCGAGUGGCGAACGGGUGAGUAACACGUGAGUAACCUGCCCUUGACUUUGGGAUAACUUCAGGAAACUGGGGCUAAUACCGGAUAGGAGCUCCUGCUGCACGGUGGGGGUUGGAAAGUUUCGGCGGUUGGGGACGGACUCGCGGCUUAUCAGCUUGUUGGUGGGGUAGUGGCUUACCAAGGCUUUGACGGGUAGCCGGCCUGAGAGGGUGACCGGCCACAUUGGGACUGAGAUACGGCCCAGACUCCUACGGGAGGCAGCAGUGGGGAAUAUUGCACAAUGGGCGGAAGCCUGAUGCAGCAACGCCGCGUGCGGGAUGACGGCCUUCGGGUUGUAAACCGCUUUCGCCUGUGACGAAGCGUGAGUGACGGUAAUGGGUAAAGAAGCACCGGCUAACUACGUG